CUGCAUAGUAAACACCCAAGUGUGCUUGGUAGCUCCAUUGGCUUUGACUCUGGGAUAAUUCUUUAUCUCUGCAUUGAAAGGAGUAUUUUAUCCUUUUAAAUGUAUUCAGAAAGUCAGCACAUCA
rnacentral:snoRNA from 1 species